CUUUUUCUUAUCCUUUCGACCUCUGACUGAGACACAAAUUUAGGUCUUCUGCACACCUUUCUCUCUGUUUUAUAGCGUAGAUUUUUCUGAGUCAUGGCCCCAAAAUCCAGUUCAUAUUCAUGCACUCCUGCCUUGAAGUUCAGCUUUGCAGAAUUUCCCACAGUGUAAGCUUUUUCCAGGUCAUCACUGCUUACAGUGGCAGCUGCUCGAUCACUAUCUUUUUUUCCAUACUCCCGCCACACGCCAUGUUCAUCUUUCCAGUACCAGAUCCAUUCUGUUGUAAGAAUGAAGUGGGGUGGUUUGGUCACAGAGGAGGCUGUGGAAAGACGUCUGACCUUUUUAAACCCAGACUGCAUAUCCACAAAAGAGAUGUAUGGGAAGAUAAAGCCACUUUCAGAAAUAGGUUUAGAAGAUCUGAUGUUAUUGGGGUCACAAUAUUCUUUUUCUAUUUCUUCCGUACUCUCCAAGUCCUUCCAGGUAGUGCCAUCAGAGAUCUGCCAUCUAUACGGCAAGUGAAAAUGAGUUCUGAUACACUUGUCUUCAAAGAUACAACUUGUGUACAGAUUAUACAAACAGAUCUGUUCCACUUCAUUACUGGUAGAUGUGGACUCCUGGCUAGAGCUGUGUUUUCUCUCUUUGCAUGGCAAAGACUUGUUAUCUUCUGUGUCAUGCUUGCUUCCCUUGCUAUUUUGUAUGGCAUACAUAUUUCUGUAAAUGGACGGCAGUUUCUG
rnacentral:lncRNA from 1 species